rnacentral:rRNA from 1 species
AUGGCUAGGAAUGCCUCGGCGACGCGCACCUGUAGCGGGGGGCAUGCCAGGACUCGUUUCACGCUUGGUCGCUGUGGCACGUCUUGGAGGCGGGCGCGACCUCCGUCGUCGCGCCGAGGGGGGCGGCAGAUGCAAGGUUUGGCACCCCGUUCUUCUCCGGCGCCGCCUCCUUCCGCAUCAGGCCCCGCGAGGGACGCGCCCCUACCCCCCGAGGGGGGGCAAUUGAGGCUGGCCCACCUCAGCCUCGGUGAUCGCGCCCCCGCACGGCUCUGGUGGGGCGGUCGGCCUCUCCUCGACACCAGGGCGGCCCGCUUCGGCGCUAGGACGUCGGGCGGCUUCCCCACGCCGCUCGGGCUCCCGGUGGGCAUUGGCGCCCCCUUCGAGCUAGGGGCUGUCUUCACCCCCGACUUCUUCGUCUUCUUCUUCUGA